rnacentral:misc_RNA from 1 species
CUGAGCGUGAAGCCACGCAGGCCGCUGGUCCUGCGCGGCUGACCCUCCACCCGUGUGAACUGAUUUUGUUGCUUUGGCGGGCCGGGCUCGACCUACCGGCUCCGGCUGGGGAGUGCCCGCCAGAGAAGCCCCAACUCGUGCAGUUAGUGCAGUCUGAGAAAAAUUUAAUAAGUA